rnacentral:rRNA from 2 species
UACGUAGGGUGCGAGCGUUAAUCGGAAUUACUGGGCGUAAAGCGUGCGCAGGCGGUUUUGUAAGCCAGAUGUGAAAGCCCCGGGCUCAACCUGGGAAUGGCAUUUGGGACUGCAAGGCUGGAGUUUGGCAGAGGAGACUGGAAUUCCUGGUGUAGCAGUGAAAUGCGUAGAUAUCAGGAGGAAUACCGAUGGCGAAGGCAGGUCUCUGGGCUAUAACUGACGCUCAUGCACGAAAGCGUGGGGAGCAAACAGG